GAGCCCAGCCCGGCUCCCUGCCGGUUGUUCCCGGGGCUGCCGGAGCUCCGGGGGGAGCUGCCCGGCCCCGCUGCGGAGCCCCGGCCGGGGGGCUGCAGCUUUAGCCCCCGCGGGCUGCCCGCCGCUGGUGCGUGUCUCCGGCCUCGGGUGACCCCGUUUCUGCUGUCCGACUGAAUCUUGGUUUCAGUCUUUGCUUUUCUUGCUCAGCCCCAGCGAAGCGGUGGUGCGGGAGGUGUAGCGGCAGGCAGCGGGUGCAGGUCAGGCUGGCCCGCCCCGCAGGAGGUGCUGCCCGGGAAGCCCGAGGGAAGCGCAGGAGGGCUCUGAGGCCGGAGGGAGGCGAGGGGACACCAGAGUAUAUUAGUUCUUAAGGAAAAUGAACUGGGUUACAUCGGUGGCAACUGUUGUACCACACAAACACAGAGUGGCUGCUGAGAUGAUGCCUUCUGAGAAGAGCUCACCAUACUGACCGUGGAGGCCAGGGAGUGGGCAGAGCCCCGGCUGCUGCAGAGGGCAGCACCUGCCAGCAACCCUGCGAGAUGACUGCUGCUGUGCCUGGAACAGGACAGCCCUGCCAGGGAAGAGGUUGCACCCCUAUUGGUCAUGACAUUCAGCUACUUGUUCUGAAGUCAUGCUCUGCGUCCCCACUGCAGAGAAGCACAAGGCCACCUGUUCCUCCAGCUAUGAUUUCAGCUUUUGCUUUCUGACAUACUGAUACCAGUGCCUUCCAGCUCAGCACUUAGCAGCAUUCUUCCUGGUCAAGGCCAUUUCUGUUCUUCAUCCCAGUAUUACUGCCAGCACCAGCUGGUUAGUGACUAGUUAGGAAAGAGAAACGGAGAAAUGAAACUGAAGAACCUUUCCUGUACACAUUAACUGACGAACUGGGACAGAGAUCUUCUUUAAAACUCUUUGGGGAAGGAUGAAAGACUGUAAAAUAUCAGGACUUCUGGCCAAGGGAAAGAAUGAUUUUUCUGAUUGUGUAAUACCAGCCAAUUACCAAAGUGAUGAAGUGGCUUCAUCCUGGCUCAAACCAGGACACAAAAUUAGAGAGGGGAGCAGAGAAUUGCUUCAGUUGUAAGUAGUACUGUCAGUGAGAAUGUGAAAAGGUCUGAGCUGAACAGAAAGUUUCAAGUUUCUGCUUCUUUGGAAAUCUCUUCUCAUGGAGAUCUAGGGUCAAAUUCUUUCCUAAUUUCCCUUGACACUGUCCCAACAAAAGUGUAAUUGAGGAAGACCUGGCUCCUGCUACACUCUAUCUUACCUAUGUGUAGUCUGAUUGCUUUUCCCCCAUGCUGUCUGCAUCUCACAUGCAGGUCAGCGUGAGGAGUAGCUUCCUUGGAGACUGCUUUGAAGAAAGCCACAGGUGUAUUGGCAGGCAGAAGACUGCAUCCUUCUUUUUAAUCCAUGCAAACAAAAACUCUGGCUCAUCCAGCAUGCUUUCAGAAAAGGUGCUUAAAUUUAAUCCAGUGUAAUUCACAGCCACCUUUUCCAUUGCCUUUUCCAACUGUGUGCUGAGCUGCUUCUGCUAUCAUUAAAUGAGAGGAUGAUCCCUGUGGGAUCAUCUCCAGAAAACAGUCUGUUGGGGAACUGGGCAUUUUUCCUGCAGCUGCAGACUUUGCAUGUUACUGAAAGAUAAAGGUUUUCUUGUUUAUGGAAACCCUUUCAGUUUUUCAGCACACAUUGCCAGUGCUUCUGCCUUUCUUCUCAUAACAGUUUCUUCAGGGAAAAUCUUUUAAAAUGGACCUUUUAGUCUCUCCUGGAGAUUACGCUCUUGUAGAGGUCUUGCCUUCAUCUCCAGAUUUAAUGGCUUAAUAAGCAUUAGGCCCUCUUAUUAUACCGUAACAAAUAGGAAUACAAUACUUUUAUCAAUAUUUAGCACAAUUAAUUUUUUUAUGUGAAACUAAAUAUUGAUGCUGUCAAAUGACUGCAGCUUAGGGGCAUAAAUUACAAAUAUUCUUCUCCUGUGAGCCUCGCUCAAUUUUGCAUUCAUAUACAGUAACCAUCUGGUGUCUUUCUAUUCCUGUAAACCAUAUGAUUUUAUUGCCAGAUUAUAUGAUUCUGUAUUGUGCUUAAAUGUCAGUGUUUUUAUUGCUGUUACCAAUACUAUCUUUUAUUUUUACUGUAAACGGUAACAAAAUAUUAACUACUUCCUUACACUAUAAAAGGAAUAAAGUCCCAUUUACAGAGUUUCUCUAAACAGAACGUAUCUCUGGAAAAAAGAUAUGCUGAAUAAAUAAUUCAUAACAUGAUGGGUGAAUAGAAAAAAAAAAGUCUUUUGUUGUAUUUUGCUACUCAAAACAAAACUGUGUUUUUAAAAGAAAGUAGCUGGCUAUUUUAAUGGAGAACAAAUCUACUUUAAAGGACAAUUGCAGGGGAGUCAGUUCGCUGUGCAUUUUUACCCAUUGUGCACUUU